rnacentral:lncRNA from 1 species
CUAGUGUACGGUUCUCCCCAAACGUGCAAGCCCCAUAGUAGCUUCUUCUCUCGUCUUUUAAAAUAAUCAAACCGGCAAGAGGAACAGAUGGAGACAUCUCAUCAAUAGAGUACUAGAAGAAUUCAUAUUACAUAGUAUAAUAUAUACUGAUGAUUUUUGUCUCGUAAUAAAAAAUAGAGCUGUCAUUUUAAUUUAUGCAUUGGUCUCAUUGUUCCCCUUUAAGAAAUGCAGAAUCGGCUCAUACCGGCUGAUUCAGCCCGUAAAGAUCGGUCCGAUUCGACGUUAAAAAAUGGUAUCAAUCUGAACCAGCUCGUAUCGGCCUGAACUGGCCCGUAUCGACCAGAACAUAUGUGAACCGGUCGAUUUGCGUCAAUUUUAAAUUUUUUUGAAUUUUUGAAUACGUAAAUCAGGCCGAACCGUGGUACCGGUUCGAUUUGGUCCAAAUCGGUACUAAAACUGGUCCAGUAGCCGAUUGAUACACCUAUCGGCAUUGGUUCGACGAU